UUCCUUUCUAGGGGCCCGAGUUGUAAUUUGCAGAGGAUGCUUUUGGUGCGGUACCGUCCAAGUGCCCUGGAACGGGACGCCACAGAGGGUGAGAGCCCCGUCUGGUCGGAUGCCUAGCCUCUAUAAAGCUCCUUCGACGAGUCGAGUAGUUUGGGAAUGCUGCUCAAAUUGGGAGGUAUAUGUCUUCUAAAGCUAAAUACUGGCUAGAGACCGAUAGCGCACAAGUAGAGUGAUCGAAAGAUGAAAAGCACUUUGGAAAGAGGGUUAAAUAGCAUGUGAAAUUGUUAAAAGGGAAGCGCUUAUAACUAGACAUAGGGGCUGUCUAAUCAACUAGUGAUUUUCACUAGGAUACUUAGACGCGAUCUAGGCUAGCAUCGGUUCGCUACGGGGGAUAAAGGCGCUGGGAAUGUGGCCCCCCUCUCGGGGGGUGUUAUAGCCUAGCGUGUAAUACUCUGUAUGCGGACCGAGGUCUGCGCCCUUUGGGCAAGGAUGCUGGCGUAAUAGUUAUUAGUGACCCGUCUUGAAACACGGACCAAGGAGUCGUCCUUGUAUGCGAGUGUUUGGGUACUGGAAACCCAUGCGCGGAAUGAAAGUAAACGUAGGUGAGAGCUCUCCGGAGUGCAUCACCGACCGAUCCUGAUGUUCUCGGAUGGAUUUGAGUAGGAGCAUACAGGGCCGGACCCGAAAGAAGGUGAACUAUGCCUGCGUAGGGUGAAGCCAGAGGAAACUCUGGUGGAGGCUCGCAGCGGUUCUGACGUGCAAAUCGAUCGUCAAACGUGGGCAUGGGGGCGA
rnacentral:rRNA from 1 species